GGGCGACUGAAAUGGGACCAGCCCAGCGCAUAACCUCGCGGCCGGUGACGGCCGUCGAGGGGUGUUGCGUUUCGGUGGAUCCAUCCCGCCUGUGCUGCUUACCGCCUAAGUCAUUGCUUGAAAGCAGCCCCACGGAGGGUGAUAGGCCCGUGUGGCGGCGCCUGUAAAAAGGGUCCAGGCGGCGCGGGCGGAGGGAUCUUCACCGUAGAGUCGGGUUGCUUAGUACUGCAGCCCUAAGUAGGUGGUAAACUCCAUCUAAGGCUAAAUACAACCACGAGUCCGAUAGAUGACAAGUACCGUGAGGGAAAGCUGAAAAGAACUUUGAAGAGAGAGUUCAAAAGGACGUGAAACCACUAGAAGCAUAAACGGGUGGAACCGCGACGGUCGAACGAGGGGAUUCAGCUUGCGGGCCGUUGGCCCGGGGGGUGGCACAGUCGUAGAGAGGACCUGGCGUGAGCAAGCACGCCGUGGCUCCACUCCCCGGCCCGGGCCAGCCUGGCCCCGCAGGCUUACUUCUCCCUCUAGUAGCUUCGCCGCGACCCGCUGCCUGUGGGCCCCUAGGGCUGUUGGCUUGGAUUGGUAGCCGGGACUGCGGUCCCGGCGAAGACCGAGCCGGCUCCGACCGGGCCCCGGCGGCGGUCACUGCCAGGAGGCCGCGCUCUCGAGAGCGGCCUCUCGCGGCGUGUGCAAGGAUCGGUCAUCCACCCGACCCGUCUUGAAACACGGACCAAGGAGUCCAACAUGUGCGCGAGUCUAAGGGUUUGCCAAACCCGGAGGCGAAAUGAAAGUGAGUUGUACAUUGUGCGGCAGGCCGAUCCCCGGCCGGCUGCCUCUGCUUGGUUGAGGCCGGGCGGCGUGAGCUAGUUUCCGCUGCCCGACAAGCCUCCCGGUGGGGCGCUGGCGGCGGCUGCCGACGCUGAGGCUUCUUCUUCGGAGGAGGCUGAGGCGGCGGUAGCUUGUCUGGCGGGCCGGCUUCUGGCCGGUCUGCUGCGGGGCGCAGGCCGAGGACUUGCCAUCAGGCGGCGCGGGGGACGGGGCAGCUCUUUCGGGGGUUGUUCUUACCCUGAUGUCCGCCGGCAAGUACCUGAGAGCGCACCCGUUGGGACCCGAAAGAUGGUGAACUAUGCCUGGCGAGGAUGAAGCCAGAGGAAACUCUGGUGGAGGUCCGAAGCAGUUCUGACGUGCAAAUCGAUUGUCAGAGCUGGGUAUAGGGGCGAAAGACUAAUCGAACCAUCUAGUAGCUGGUUCCCUCCGAAGUUUCCCUCAGGAUAGCUGGCAUUCGGAGGAGAUGAGUUUCAUCCGGUAAAGCGAAUGAUUAGAGGCCUUGGGGGUGCAAUGCCCUCAACCUAUUCUCAAACUUUAAAUGGGUGAGAUGUGGAGCUUGCUUGAUCAGUGAAGCUCCAUGAAAGAAUCAGAGUGCCUAGUGGGCCACUUUUGGUAAGCAGAACUGGCGCUGUGGGAUGAACCAAACGCACGAGUUAAGGGGCCUAAACGAACGCUAAUAUAGACACUAAGAAAAGGUGUUGGUUGCUAUAGACAGCAGGGCGGUGGCCAUGGAAGUUGGAAUCCGCUAAGGAGUGUGUAACAACUCACCUGCCGAAGCAACUAGCCCUUAAAAUGGUAUGGCGCUCAAGCGUUCUCCCGAUACUCGGCCGCCGGGGCAGUAGGGCCCUUACACAUUAGGCCUCCAAGCCCCGGCGAGUAGGAGGGUCGCAGCGGUGUGCGUAGAAGGUGCCCGGCGUAGGCCGGCCUGGAGCCACCGCUGGUGCAGAUCUUGGUGGUAGUAGCAAAUAAUCAAGAGAGAGCCUCGUUGGCUGAUGUGGAGAAGGGUUCCAUGUCAACAUCAGUUGAACAUGGGUGAGUCAGGCCUAAGCCCAAGGAUAAACUUCCUGUGUCCCAGGUGUUCCGCAUGCUAUAAAAAGAAAGAGGCGACAAACGUCGUCCGGGUGGGGUGGGUGGCCUGUUGCUGUUGCUGCUGCUGCUGCUGCUGCUGCUGCUGCUGCUACUACUGCUGACGCGGUGGUGGUGGUGGUGGUGGUGGUGGCGGAGGCGGCGGCAGUGGUGGCAGAACCUCCUGUCUCACCCAGAUAGAUAAAUAUAUAAUAUAAGAUC
rnacentral:rRNA from 1 species